UUAUACUGAACACCAAAUCCCUAAAAUUACAGAUAAUUUGUAAACAUUAAAAGCAAUUGCGCACGCACGCAGCCCCUUUCUCUCAACAGCACGCACGCCGCCAGCACACUUAGCCCAUGCAGCAGCAACCGAGCACGGUAGCAACAGGCCACCAGCAGUCGCUCUCUCUCUCACGCACACGCAGCAGCAAGCCAACACCAAUAGCCCCUCUUUCUCAUGCUCACUCUCUACUAUGACGAAGUCAACACUAUAGCCCUCUUACGUACUCAAGAAAACUCUAACCCAUAUCCAAACCCUCGCCGUCGAAGAAAACCCAAUCCUUAAUGGCUUGAAAUUAAAGCCUCCGCCGUCAAUCACCAUCGAACCAAAUAAACCCUAGCCUUACCAUCACUCUUCAUUUGACUCGCUGAAGAAAGCACUCUAUUAGGUAAGUCUCUGUUGUUUGAUAAUAUAUCUGCACUCUUUGUUGGCCGAAGCUUUUAGACAAUUGCUUUGAUUCAAUUGCUUCGAUUGGUUAGUUCUCUGUGAUUAAUUAGUUAGUUACUUUUAAUUUCAUAUUUUCAUCUCUAACAGUGAAUUUGGGAGUCGUUUUCUCUAUCGGAUUUGUAAUUUUUGCUACGGAUCAAAAACAUCUUGAAGGUGUUUUCAUAUCUAACAACUUGAACUAUCAUUUAUUUUGUCCUAUUAAUGUUCAAUUUUUUUUUUCUUUUUUAUUAGUAUGACAAUUAGUCGAAUGUCCUUGCACAUAAAACAAUCUUUUAACUUGGCGUUGGAAUAUUUGUUUUGAGUUGUGUCCCCUUAAUCAGUGACCAUACAAAAGUUCCCCAUGAUAAAGUGUUUAGCCCUAUUAAUGCCAUAAAGUCUUGCUCUCAAUUUUUCUGAUUAUGCCUAUGGAUUGAUUACCUAUUUCAUUUACAAAUUCAAUUGGCAAAUGUACAAUGCCUGCAUGACACUCACAUUUGGGUUAUAAUGGUAGUCAUUAUGAGGAAGAAGGUUAGAAUAACAUCAGGGGAAACAUCUGGGAGAAGGUAUGUACUGUCAAGCUCUUUGUUAGAAUCAUCACGAAAUUUAUAUUGGAUCGUGGCUGUUCUAUGUGAUGCAUUUUGGAUUUGCUCUUGCUAGACAUGCAAAAACUUGUAAAAUGUAUUUUUUUUUUCCCAUUUUAGAUUUACUAUCUAGUAUCUUGUAGGUUUAAUCUAAAAUAGAAACCAUUCAGGAUACUGGACACAAUUCUAAUGAAGAGAAAAGAUGUUAGACUUUAGUAUUCAACCUUUUUUUUUUAGCCAUAUUUCUAGACCCCAAGUUUAUGUCAUGAUAAUUGUGUGAUUGAUAAGAUAUUUUGGUUUUAGACUGUAUCUCAUGGAUUUAGAGUUCGAUUAUAUUUGGAAGUGGAAUAAUGCAUUCAUUUACAUAUGAUGUUUGAUGAAGUUCCCAUAAAAUUAAUUCAAUUAUAUAUGCUUAUGGUUCUAAGGAAGCGGGGCAAAAAUUUUAUCAGUGGGUUGAUUUCACUAGUUCAAGUUAGUAAAGCAAAGAAAUUGUCUUUAUGCACUUUAACUUUCCUCCAUUUAAGUUAAAAAAAUUAUUGAAGCUUUUGGAAGUGAAUUGUUCAUUUUGUUUGUGCACUUAUGCAGAUGGAUUUACUUUUGGCUGCUUAACCCUUCCUCACUUAUAUUUUUUCAGUUUAAAUUGCAGUGUUUUACUGCUGUGCAACAGCACAAGAGGUUGUUUUAUUGUUGUUUCUAUAAAAACACAGCACCAGGAAGCGUCCAGGUAAUGUUUCGCUGCUGUUAUGCAGUAAAAACAACACCUGAAAGUUUCUAGGUGCUAUUUUUACUGCUGUUUACGCAGAAACACAGCACCUAAAAGUGUCUCUAAGUUCUGUUUAGCUGCUAUUAUGCAGCAAAAACAGCACUUGGAAACUUCCAAGUGCUGUUUUUAUUGCAUUUUAUGCAGAAACAAAGCACCUAGAAGCAUUCAAGGGUUGCUUUACUGUUGUUUUGUAUUUAAAAUUGGUCUUAGAAAUUUUGGGUGCUAUUUCGCUGAAAUUUUGCUACUAACAGUGCAGCUUAAUAAUUUCAUAUGUCGUUUUGAACCUUCUUCAGUUCUUUUCUCUUAUGUCUAUACUUAAUCUUUUCCCCCCUUGGUAAUAAGCAGGUACAAUUUUUGCAAGGUAAUAUCUAAGCAUGCUGUUAAUUCUUUGGUUGAGACGUAGUAUUCUAAACUUCAGGCCUUAAUUUUUUUAUUUCCAAGUGUAUAAUGGGUAGGUACUGGAUCUCUUAUGGAUGAUGUAGUUAAUGCUUUUUUAUUGUCUCUAUUUUGGCAAAUGUGUUGUCAUUUAUUAUCUGAACACAUGGUUGAUUAACUUACUUGAGGUAAGUCUAUUAAUUAAUAGUGAUAUGGUACUUUAAAGUCUUGUUUUACAACUUAAGUCACUAAAGUGAUUUAAUAUUUAUGAUUUAUAAUAUAUGAAUAUAUCUUAAUUUCUCUUUAUUCUUUGUAAGAAUGAUGUAGAUUGCUGAAGCUGGUGAGAUUCAUUUGCAAUUAAAGACUUGAUGAGAAAUUAGAUGUACUCACACAUGCCAAUCUUGUUGGUUGCUAGUGCAUUCACUAGUAGAAGUUUAAUGAUUGUUGGAGAUUUUUGUAGAGCUAUCUCUUUGUAUAUGAAACAUUUGCAUCAUUUUGUAUAUGAAACAUUUGAGAAAAAUAAUUGUAAAGAAUUUAAUAUGAAAUUAGAAUUAAAAUAGGAGCUUGAAAUAGCCUUAAAUUUGCCA
rnacentral:lncRNA from 1 species